rnacentral:lncRNA from 1 species
GUUUGUUAAUCAAUGAUUUCUAGAGGAACAGCAUCAACACAAAGUGUGAUUCUAAAAGGGGAAUUAUUAGGUUGGCCUACUUGACCUGAAGCUGGAUGUCCACAGUGGCUGUCUGCAGAGUAGAGAGCUUGAGAAGUAGUAGCUGCAGAGUCCAAGAGGCUGAAGCCUCAGAACAAGAGGGAUCACUGGUGCUGCCCUAGUCAGACCAAAGUUUCUGGAAACUCCCUGGAGAAUCACAGGCAGAGUGUGAUAUCCUCAGGCCAUUGCAGCAGCCAUUGGAGAAGAAAGGCCUUUCACUGCUGCUGCUUCCUUCUUCUUCCAACUUUUGUUCCACCUAAGACACCAUCCUAUUGGAUGGUGCUGCCUAUACCUAAGGAGGUUCUCUAGUUUGGUUCUCUAUUCCACAUGCCAAUCAUUUGUAGACACACCCUCACGGACACACCCAGAGGCCUCUUAAUCACAGGUAUCUCUUAAUGCAAUGUGGUUGACAAUUCUAAUGAGCCAUUACAUAUAGUAUCAAACACUCUUCUCUACACUGUUCUCAAUAUUUUGCAUUGAUGUUGGAUGCUUGUUAGUUACUGAAUCGGUAUCCUACAUUUGAUUAAGAGAGUGGAUGAAGCAACACUUUAUCAUCAGCUGAAAUCCAUCCUUUACCUUAGGGUUCCUCCUCUGUGUGGUGUGAUUUUGUGUGGCACAUAUUCUACAUAAUAAUGUCAUACAGAAGAGUUUCAGUGCAUCUAUAAUGUUGUCUCUUCUGGAAUGUUCUUGACUUGGAAUCUUACUGCACUUGGCCUUUCAGACUGGCUUCUCUCACUUACCAGUCUGCCUUUAAGGGUGCUGUAUCUUUGCAGGCUGCAGAGCUCACUUUCUGGGUGAUGUUCUUUGGUUGGUUAAACUGCAGCUCGUCCAUUCAGCAUUGAAAGGUGCAUCUUCCUUGCUUCUAGCUUUGGACAGUUCUGGACAUGGCUGCUGUAGUCACUGCUGAGAAGUUUUCUGUGCAUAAUUUUCACCUCAUUUGCAUAGACACCCGGGAGUGUGGUGAAUUAAUUGUAGAGUGCACCAUGUUUAUUUUGUAAGAGUGUGACUGUCUUCCAGAGACAGUGUUCUUCUCUCCAUUCACAUGAGCAAGGGAAGGGUGCUUGCUGAUUCAUGUUUUCACUGUCUUUUGGAGCUUUUGGUGUUUGGCAUUUCACCACUCCAGUUGAGUACCUGGUGGCACCUCAUUGUUCAUUUUGAAGUUUCCUAAUUAUAUGCAGGUGAACAUCUUCUCACACAUGUGUUAACUGUGCCUAUUUAUUGAGUAUCUUUCCAAAUCUUUUUCCCACUUCCAACUUGGUUGCUUAUUUUUUACUGAGUAUUCUUCAUGUAUAUUUUAUACCAACCCAGUGUCACUAUGUGUUGUGACAACAUUUUGUCCAGUUCUCCAGCAUGUCUUCUCAUUCUCUCAAGGGCAUCUUUUGAAAAACGCAAACUUCGUUUUGAUGAAGUUCUAUUUACAAGUUUUUCACUCACAGUUCAUGUGUUUGAUGUUGCAUAUGAAGCUGUCAUUCCAGCCCAGAUUUCUCUGUAUUUCUUUGUUACUUUAGUGAAGUUUGGAGUUUUGCAUUAGGUACUACAAUGUAUAGGCAAUUUUUUUGCUGCCGACAAGUGAACCCUGGGCCUCCUAAUUGCCAGGCAGGUGCUUUGCUGGAG